UUUCUUUGUCGUGAGGAAUGGUUGUUUCUGAUGACAGAGAUGGGGAAUUCCCAGAAUCGGCCACCUGGGAACUUAGGAGAGGCCAUGGGUGGCUCCAGUCCAAGUCUGAAGAGAAGCAGGAAGACACUCCAGUUUGAAAGACUCCCGGGCAGAGAGUGAAGACCCCCCAACCCCCGACAGCCAGCUGGAUCUACCCAGGCUCCCAGCAGACCGAAGCUUCAGUCGGUCCCAGAGGACACAGGCUCAACAUGAAUUCCCACACUGCUCCAGAGUGAGGCCCGGGUCUGCAUGGCUACACCUCAGAAGAGACAUCGUUCUUUUCUGCUGGACUUAAGGCCUCAAGGCCGCUGUGCUGAGCUGGCUGGGUCAUCAUGCAGAGAUGUUUUCUGGAAGUUGUGUCCUCUUGGAAAAAAGCCGAGCCUCUUGUCAAAGGAAUCAUGAGAUCUCCUGGAUCCAGCUGUGCCUGAAACAACCCUGUGUCCGGACCUCUAAUUAUAUGAUCCAGGUCUGAGGUGAGAGUGGCCAGAGAGAGGGAUAUAGGACAUUCUGUCACUACCAUGCUCCCAUGGUUGGGCUGGGACUGCCUGCCUUCCUCGAGGACAUCUUUCUCAUCAAAUGACAAGCAGAGGUAUGUUUUGAAACUCUGUCCAUCUAUGUGAUGUUCCAUUUGGACCAAGACUGCUUGCUGCCCUGACUUCUUUGCCAGGAACAUGGAGGAUUCCCUGUCAGUCAAUAGUUACUGACCUGAUUCCACAUGUCUCUCUCUCUCUCUCACCCAGUUUGGUGGCCAUGGCUGGAGUGGGCACCUAGCUUCCUAAUGUGCCUCCUUGAUCGUCAGUACCCAGCACCAGUUCAGCUCUAGAAUCAGGGGAAACGUAGGGGUUAUGGGACAGUCAGCUAGCCUGGAGAGGCCCCUCCGAAGCCCGAUGCUGCUAGGUACACACAUUUUGUGGCCGGGGUAGGGAAGGCUCUGGUGUCAUGUCAGUCCCUUGUCCCCCACAGCAACUGAGCCAGCGUCCUGAACAGGCUGGCAUCUUUGAAACAAGCUGCACAAACCAGAGAGAAAUGAGCCCAAGAGCCCUGUCUGUGAAGUCCAUAACCCAGAGUCUGUGACAUGUUGAGGACAGGCCAGCAUCCUAAGGUGGCACUUGAACCAGCAGGUUGGGGCAGGUCCCACAGAUGCCUGCGGCCAGAAACCACUCUUCCAACCGUCCUCCUAUAUUGUCAAGCUUGAACAAGAAUUUUUAUGAUUACCUUUGUCCCAGUAAAUCACAAAAAGUCCACAGGGGUGCCCCCUCCCGUGACCACAAAAGCCCAUCUUCCCAUUCAAGUGAAUUAA